CAGUAGCCGCGGUAAUACGUAGGUGGCAAGCGUUGUCCGGAAUUAUUUGGUGUAAAGGGCUCGCAGGCGGUUUCUUAAGUCUGAUGUGAAAGCCCCCGGCUCAACCGGGGAGGGUCAUUGGAAACUGGGAAACUUGAGUGCAGAAGAGGAGAGUGGAAUUCCACGUGUAGCGGUGAAAUGCGUAGAGAUGUGGAGGAACACCAGUGGCGAAGGCGACUCUCUGGUCUGUAACUGACGCUGAGGAGCGAAAGCGUGGGAGCGAACAGGAUUAGAUACCCCCGUAGUCCCUGUCUCUUAUACC
rnacentral:rRNA from 1 species